CCAGACUCCUACGGGAGGCAGCAGUGGGGAAUAUUGGGCAAUGGGCGGAAGCCUGACCCAGCAACGCCGCGUGAAGGAAGAAGGCCCUCGGGUUGUAAACUUCUUUUCUAUAGGACGAAGAAGUGACGGUACUAUAGGAAUAAGCCCCGGCUAACUACGUGCAAGCAGCCGCGGUAAUACGUAGGGGGCAAGCGUUAUCCGGAUUUACUGGGUGUAAAGGGAGCGUAGACGGCAAUGCAAGUCUGGAGUGAAAGCCCAAGGCCCAACCAUGGGACUGCUCUGGAAACUGUGUAGCUUGAGUGCAGGAGGGGUAAGCGGAAUUCCUAGUGUAGCGGUGAAAUGCGUAGAUAUUAGGAGGAACACCGGUGGCGAAGGCGGCUUACUGGACUGCAACUGACGUUGAGGCUCGAAGGCGUGGGGAGCAAACAGGAUUAGAUACCCUAGUACAU
rnacentral:rRNA from 1 species